AACGUAGGAGACAAACGUUAUCCGGAGUUACUGGGCGUAAAGGGCGUGUAGGUGGUAUCGUAAGUCUGGCGUGAAAUUUCUCGGCUUAACCGAGGCAGGUCGUCGGAUACUGCGAGGCUAGAGGACGGUAGAGGCGUGUGGAAUUCCUGGUGUAGCGGUGAAAUGCGCAGAUAUCAGGAGGAACACCAGCGGCGAAGGCGGCGCUCUGGGCUGGAACUGACGCUGAGGAGCGAAAGCGUGGGGAGCGAACAGG
rnacentral:rRNA from 1 species